GGAUUAGAUACCCUGGUAGUCCAUGCCGUAAACGAUGAGUACUAGCUGUUGGAAUCGGUGUUAAGGUUCUAGUGGCGUAGCUAACGCGCUAAGUACUCCGCCUGGGGAUUACGGCCGCAAGGCUAAAACUCAAAGGAAUUGACGGGGACCCGCACAAGCGGUGGAGCAUGUGGUUUAAUUCGAUGCAACGCGAAGAACCUUACCUACCCUUGACAUACCAAGAACUUUCUAGAGAUAGAUCGGUGCCUUCGGGAACUUGGAUACAGAUGCUGCAUGGCUGUCGUCAGCUCGUGCUG
rnacentral:rRNA from 1 species